UUAGCUAGUUGGUGAGAUAAAAGCUCACCAAGGCCACGAUGGGUAGCCGGCCUGAGAGGGUGAACGGCCACACUGGAACUGAGACACGGUCCAGACUCCUACGGGAGGCAGCAGUGGGGAAUAUUGCACAAUGGAGGGAACUCUGACGCAGCGACGCCGCGUGAGCGAUGAAGGUUUUCGGAUCGUAAAGCUCUGUCCUUGGGGAAGAAGGGUGCGAAGCAUCUUGACGGUACCUAAGGAGGAAGCCCCGGCUAACUACGUGCCAGCAGCCGCGGUAAUACGUAGGGGGCAAGCGUUGUCCGGAAUUAUUGGGCGUAAAGGGUGCGUAGGCGGCCUUUUAAGUCAGAUGUGAAAGACCACGGCUUAACCGUGGGGUUGCAUUUGAAACUGGAGGGCUUGAGUAUCGGAGAGGGUAGUGGAAUUCCCAGUGUAGCGGUGGAAUGCGUAGAUAUUGGGAGGAACACCAGUGGCGAAGGCGACUACCUGGACGAAAACUGACGCUGAGGCACGAAAGCUAGGGGAGCAAACAGGAUUAGAUACCCUGGUAGUCCUAGCCGUAAACGAUGGGUACUAGGUGUAGGAGGUUUCGAUACCUUCUGUGCCGCAGUUAAC
rnacentral:rRNA from 1 species